rnacentral:rRNA from 1 species
UGGGGAAUAUUGCACAAUGGGGGGAACCCUGAUGCAGCGACGCCGCGUGAAGGAAGAAGUAUCUCGGUAUGUAAACUUCUAUCAGCAGGGAAGAAAAUGACGGUACCUGACUAAGAAGCCCCGGCUAACUACGUGCCAGCAGCCGCGGUAAUACGUAGGGGGCAAGCGUUAUCCGGAUUUACUGGGUGUAAAGGGAGCGUAGACGGCGUAUCAAGUCUGAUGUGAAAGGCAGGGGCUCAACCCCUGGACUGCAUUGGAAACUGGUAUGCUGGAGUGCCGGAGAGGUAAGCGGAAUUCCUAGUGUAGCGGUGAAAUGCGUAGAUAUUAGGAGGAACACCAGUGGCGAAGGCGGCUUACUGGACGGUAACUGACGUUGAGGCUCGAAAGCGUGGGGAGCAAACAGGA